rnacentral:lncRNA from 1 species
GAAGGAAGAUACUUUGUGCACCGAACGGAAAAUGACUCAUGAGAGGUAAUCAAGCAUUUCAUUCAGAUCAUUUUUUUUUAUUCUGCUGUUGUUACCUCCAUUUUUUAAAAUGCAUUUUUUCAUGUGUAUAUUAUCAUUUUUUUUGUAUUGAUAUUCUUAUAUUUUUUAUUUGUUUUUGAGUAGAGAUUCCUUGCAUUAAUCCAUAACUUGGACGAUUUUGUUUUUUUAAAUAAGA